rnacentral:rRNA from 1 species
UACAGAGGCCCCAAGCAUUAUCCGGAAUCACUGGGCGUAAAGGGUGUCAAGGCGGUCAUGUUAGUCGUUCGUAAAAUCCGGGAGCUCAACUUCCGGCCCGCGAGCGAAACGGCAUGACUUGAGGUUGGGAGAGGUGUGUGGAACUCACGGUGUAGGGGUGAAAUCCGUUGAUAUCGUGGGGAACACCAAAGGCGAAGGCAGCACACUGGCCCAAAUCUGACGCUCACACACGAAAGCCAGGGUAGCGAACAGG